rnacentral:lncRNA from 1 species
AUACUCCAUUGGGGACGUUGCAAUUGAUAGACGUAUGUUGCGAUGAACCCUAGCACAACACAAAUGAGCGCCUGAUGCACGAACAACCAAAGCAUAAUUAAUGAAGGGAAAGAAUGAUCAAUUGCUACUCCCUCCGUUCUUUCUCGUUUGAUAGGCAUAUUUCCAAAUCUAAAAAUUUCUCUUUUGAUAGUCUUAUUUGAGUCCAACUAUCCAUCCACUUAAUAGUUAUCUCAGAUCCAAUGCGUGACUCUUCAUUCUUCCAAUCG